CCCGGCCCGACGGACGCAGACGCGAACCCAGCGCGACUUUCAGGUGGAAGAAACCGCAGCGGAAGAAGUACGGUCUGCUGAGCAGCUCCGAUGAACGCGUGGAGAUGGCAUCGCUGGAUAGCGAUGAGGACACCGUGUUUGAGACGCAGAACCUGAGGCGAUGAUUUGGGACCAGUGGCGCAACUGUGCAGACCGAGGGAGGGGUGCAAAGUCAUCCGCUGGAAUCGCCGAUGCUCCUGUUUUAGUUUUGAUAAUAAUUGCUUAUAAUGACUGCGAAUUAACAGCACAAACUCUUUGAUCGCUGGGGAGGGCAAAGGGGACCAAAACUGUUUCCUUCACACUUCUUUUUUGGGAGCUGCAAAGGACUCUGCGCUGAGUGCUGCAUGGGGUGAUGCUCAGGAAGAUGUGACCGAAGUGACUCUAGGGUGAACGCUCUGCAUUUGGCACUGAGAGCUGCACGUCUGUGCCCACCGCCUGCUUGGGGCUUUUGGGUGCUCCUCUGACUGUGGGAGCAGUCCAGAGCUUGGCAGGCUCGGUUUUCCCUUCCACGAUGUCUGAUCUCUUCCCUGGAUUGCUGUGUGCCAUCGGCUGCACCCCGUGGUGGAGUUGGGGCAGCAGCAUUGCCUGAGAUCAGACAGAGGAGUUUUGGGAGGGAGCAGCGAGCUGAAGGCGUUCUGGGAGCAGCAGGGUUGGCAGCGAGUGGAUGAUGGCAUAAAUCCCUGCGUGGGUUUACAAAACAAAGAGGUGUUUGCAAACAAAA